GGGCCCGUAGUCGAGUGGUUAAGACGCCACCCUUACAAGGUGGAGAUCCCCAGUUCAAAGAGCCCUUUUUGGGAUGCCUA
rnacentral:tRNA from 1 species